rnacentral:rRNA from 1 species
CGCCAGCCCGCUCAGAAACUUAAAGGAAGUUAGACGGGGGCCCGCACAAGCGGAGGAGCAUGUGGUUUAAUUCGAUGAUACGCGAGGAACCUUACCUGGGCUCGAACGUAAGAUGACUGUAGGUGAAAGCUUACAUCUCUUCGGAGCAUUUUACGAGGUGCUGCAUGGUUGUCGUCAGCUCGUGCCGUGAGGUGUCGGGUUAAGUCCCAUAACGAGCGCAACCCCUACCUUUUAGUUGCCAUCAGGUAAUGCUGGGGACUCUAAAGGAACUGCCUACGCAAGUAGUGAGGAAGGCGGGGAUGACGUCAAAUCAGCACGGCCCUUACGUCCAGGGCUACACACGUGCUACAAUGGCUGAUACAGAGGGCAGCUACCUGGUGACAGGAUGCAAAUCUCCAAAGUCGGUCUCAGUUCGGAUCGGAGUCUGCAACCCGACUCCGUGAAGUUGGAUUCGCUAGUAAUCGCGCAUCAGCCAUGGCGCGGUGAAUACGUUCCCGGGCCUU